UCCCUGGUGGCUCAGAUGGUAAAGCAUCUGUCUACAAUGCAGGGGACCUGGGUUUGAUCCCUGGGUUGGGAA
rnacentral:tRNA from 1 species